rnacentral:rRNA from 1 species
AUUGAACGCUGGCGGCAUGCCUUACACAUGCAAGUCGAACGGCAGCACGGGCUUCGGCCUGGUGGCGAGUGGCGAACGGGUGAGUAAUACAUCGGAACGUGCCCUGUAGUGGGGGAUAACUAGUCGAAAGAUUAGCUAAUACCGCAUACGACCUGAGGGUGAAAGCGGGGGACCGUAAGGCCUCGCGCUACAGGAGCGGCCGAUGUCUGAUUAGCUAGUUGGUGGGGUAAGAGCCUACCAAGGCGACGAUCAGUAGCUGGUCUGAGAGGACGAUCAGCCACACUGGGACUGAGACACAGCCCAGACUCCUACGGGAGGCAGCAGUGGGGAAUUUUGGACAAUGGGGGCAACCCUGAUCCAGCAAUGCCGCGUGUGUGAAGAAGGCCUUCGGGUUGUAAAGCACUUUUGUCCGGAAAGAAAUGGCUCUGGUUAAUACCUGGGGUCGAUGACGGUACCGGAAGAAUAAGCACCGGCUAACUACGUGCCAGCCGCCGCCGUAA